rnacentral:lncRNA from 1 species
GCCAAACCUUUAUUUAUUUACGAUUAAAAGACAAAUUACACCCUAAAUUUUAUAUUUAUGUUGAUAUUUGCAUCCUAAAAUAAAAAAAAUAUCUAAGUACAUCCUAAACUUUAUUCUUACUAAACAAAUUGCACACUUAAUCGGUCAAAAGUGACCGGUUAAAACUGUAAUGUUUAUUUGAGAGGGGUAAAUUAGGUAGUUUAUAUUUAUUUCACAAAAUUCACCCACGCAAGCCCCUUCACCCUCGACACCCUCCUCUCUCUCCUCCCCUCACUCCGGCCGACACCCGAUCUCCCUCCAUUUCCGUCGUUCUUGAUCCCUCCACCAAAACCCCUCUCCCCUGCAGUGGAUGUCCCCGCCCCAGUGUCGCUGGAGGAAGAUUUUGAUGAAGAUCGCAGCGUAUUUUCUUUCUCAUCUCACCAAGAUCUCAUUCGCGAAGUUCGUGCCCAAGUUGAAAUCCUCGACUCCACUUUCUCAUCGAUCGAAGCAGAUUUCUAUCGUGAUUGUGCAAUUCGUAUUAUUUUUUUGACAUGCAUGUUGAUUUUUGUUUUUAUGUGUUGAAGAGGAUCAUGUGAGCAUGAUUGUUGAUUUGAGCGUGGUUGCUGCUCUGGUGAGGCAUCUUCAGGCGCCGCCGCCACAAGAUGAUAGUGGUCCGAAGCCAUACGAGCACGAGGUUGAGAAAGGAAACGCUUUUACGCUUCCCUUGUCUCAUCAAACUACAGAGAUCCAUUCACUACUACCUCUGCGCAAAAGCCUCGAAACGGGUUAAGUGCCAAAACACCACCUGGUUUUCCAAGUCUUGUUGUAUCUAGAAAUAGUUCAUUGCAAGCUGAAAGACCACUUUAUGGUAUUUCCUCCACUGGACCUGCUGAGAAUGUGAGAAGCAUAAUCAAUACAAAGAAAUAUUAUAAUUUGCCAGAUAUCUCUGGACUUUCUCUUCCCCACGGUCUAUAGACCAUCUACUGAUAAUUACCAGAGCAUAUUAGUAUCCUUUUCAAGUCGUUGUGUGCUUAAUGGAACUGUAUGUGAACGCUCUCGACUCUUGCGAAUUAAGUUCUAUGGCUGUUUUGAUAAGCCACUUGGGAGGUAUCUUCAAGAUGAUCUCUGUUUGAUCAGGUAACUUUUUUCUUCCGUGUCAGUGUUAAAUUUUUUUUUUGUACCUGUUAGAAGAGGGGAUUUAUUAUACAAUUGCACUUUGCUCUAGAUGGCCCUCUGUCGAUCAUGCAAAGAGCCGGCUGAAGGCCACGUUGUAUGCUAUACCCACCAGCAGGGAAAUUUAACAAUAAACGGUAGACGCCUUCCCUCAGUGAAGCUACCUGGGGAACGAGAUGGAAAAAUAUGGAUGUGGCAUCGAUGUCUCAGGCCACGUUGAUGGGGCAGAUGAGGACCUCAUAGAUCGUGUGGCUGAAAAGGAGAGAUUUUUCUUGAUUUUAUUGAUCGAUUUUCUAAGAUCGAGCUGUUGUAUGCUACUGAAUAACUGUAAUAACAUUGGAGAAGAUAACGAAGGAAAAAGUCUGAAAUACCCCUACCCCUUCAGAUGUGGAUCUGUGCCUUAGCCGAUCACUUUGACCGGUUAAGUAUGCAAUUUGUUUAGCAUAAGUAAAGUUUGGGGUGUAUUUAAAUAUUUUUUUUAUUUUAGGGUGCAAAUAUCAACAUAAAUAUAAAGUUUAGAGUGAAAUUUGUCUUUUAAUCUUUAUUUUUUUAUUCCU